CGGGAAUAUUGCGCAAUGGGGGAAACCCUGACGCAGCCAUGCCGCGUGUGUGAAGAAGGCCCUAGGGUUGUAAAGCACUUUCAAUUGGGAGGAAAAGCUAAUGGUUAAUAGCCAUUAGCCCUGACGUUACCUUUAGAAGAAGCACCGGCUAACUCCGUGCCAGCAGCCGCGGUAAUACGGAGGGUGCAAGCGUUAAUCGGAAUUACUGGGCGUAAAGCGCGCGUAGGCGGCUCUUUAAGUCGGAUGUGAAAGCCCCGGGCUCAACCUGGGAACUGCAUCCGAUACUGGAGGGCUAGAGUGUAGGAGAGGGAGGUAGAAUUCCAUGUGUAGCAGUGAAAUGCGUAGAUAUA
rnacentral:rRNA from 1 species